CUACGGGAGGCAGCAGUGAGGAAUAUUGGUCAAUGGGCGCAAGCCUGAACCAGCCAUGUCGCGUGCAGGAAGACGGCCCUAUGGGUUGUAAACUGCUUUUGUAUGGGAAGAAAUUGCUCGACGUGUCGGGCAUUGCCGGUACCAUACGAAUAAGGAUCGGCUAACACCGUGCCAGCAGCCGCGG
rnacentral:rRNA from 1 species